rnacentral:lncRNA from 1 species
ACGGUUUAACAAAUUCAAAAUCGAAUUUCGCAAUAUAAAUUUCAUAUAAUUUUUGAAUUUGUACUCUAAUUUCGAAAAUUAUCCCAAUUAGACGAUCAAAUAGCUUAAAUUUUUACCGGGCACUGCGAAUGGAAGUAAAUCUACGGGGAGAUCUACACGCAAAACCCACUCUCUUUUCAUCUCAUUUUUUUCUUCUUUUCCAUUUCUUUUCGUUUCUCUCUUGGUGCAUGCUCUCCCUUCUCCCUUUAUCUCUUUAAAACCCUCAAAUUUUAGGUUCCAUCUUAAUUUUAUCCCAAACUUUUUUUUAUCUCAUAAAACCCUUAAUUUUAGACUCAAUGCUAAUCGGUCCCUAAUUUUUUCGUCUUAAAAAAUUUCAAACUUUAUAUUUAGUUUCAAAGGCAAGAACCUCAAGGACGAGGAAUCUCGACAUGAGAGAAAUCUCGACAGUCGGGACCGGAAUUUACGGCCAAAGAAGAGGAGAAAAUCUGGGCAGAAAAAAAAAAAUAGCAGCGGAUUCUCGGGCAAGUGGGACG